CAUCUGCAGAGCUACCGACUAUAACAGUGCCAUGCCAGAAAGACACCAUCAGACACAGCAACCUGGUUGCUGAGGAACUAGGAUUCAAAAAAAAAAAAAGGAGAUGUCUGCACACAGAAUGUACAGAAAUAUGUCUGUCUUUGCCCAUGAUGGGAGAGGAAAGGCCAUUCUGUCUCUUGGUAGCAGAUGAAGAUUGGCUUUAGAGCUCAUCGGGAAGAACUAUGUCUUGACCAGCAUCCUUCAUCACUGAGGACACCAGUGUUCCUAUGUUGGUGAGUUGCCAGCUUUUCACACUCAGUCUUUUUCUAAUGCAGUCAC
rnacentral:lncRNA from 1 species